GACGAACGCUGGCGGCGUGCCUAAUACAUGCAAGUCGAGCGGACAGAAGGGAGCUUGCUCCCGGAAGUCAGCGGCGGACGGGUGAGUAACACGUGGGCAACCUGCCUGUAAGACUGGGAUAACUUCGGGAAACCGGAGCUAAUACCGGAUAGGUUCUUCCCCCGCAUGGGGGAAGAUGGAAAGACGGUUUCGGCUGUCACUUACAGAUGGGCCCGCGGCGCAUUAGCUAGUUGGUGGGGUAAUGGCCCACCAAGGCGACGAUGCGUAGCCGGCCUGAGAGGGUGAUCGGCCACACUGGGACUGAGACACGGCCCAGACUCCUACGGGAGGCAGCAGUAGGGAAUCUUCCGCAAUGGACGAAAGUCUGACGGAGCAACGCCGCGUGAGCGAAGAAGGCCUUCGGGUCGUAAAGCUCUGUUGUCAGGGAAGAACAAGUGCCAGAGUAACUGCUGGCACCUUGACGGUACCUGACCAGAAAGCCACGGCUAACUACGUGCCAGCAGCCGCGGUAACAC
rnacentral:rRNA from 1 species